rnacentral:rRNA from 1 species
UGUCCAGACUCCUACGGGAGGCAGCAGUGGGGAAUAUUGCACAAUGGGGGAAACCCUGAUGCAGCGACGCCGCGUGAGUGAAGAAGUAUUUCGGUAUGUAAAGCUCUAUCAGCAGGGAAGAAAAUGACGGUACCUGACCAAGAAGCCCCGGCUAACUACGUGCCAGCAGCCGCGGUAAUACGUAGGGGGCAAGCGUUAUCCGGAUUUACUGGGUGUAAAGGGAGCGUAGACGGCGAUGCAAGCCAGAUGUGAAGGCCCGGGGCUCAACCCCGGGACUGCAUUUGGAACUGUGUGGCUGGAGUGUCGGAGAGGCAAGUGGAAUUCCUAGUGUAGCGGUGAAAUGCGUAGAUAUUAGGAGGAACACCAGUGGCGAAGGCGGCUUGCUGGACGAUGACUGACGUUGAGGCUCGAAAGCGUGGGGAGCAAACAGGAUUAGAUACCCCAGUA